rnacentral:rRNA from 1 species
CCAGACUCCUACGGGAGGCAGCCGUGGGGACUCUUGGGCAAUGGGCGCCCGCCUGACCCAGCAACGCCGCGUGCCGGACGAAGGCUUUCGGGUUGUAAACUUCUUUUGUCAGGGACGACGCAAGUGACGGUACCUGACGAAUAAGCCACGGCUAACUACGUGCCAGCAGCCGCGGUAAUACGUAGGUGGCAAGCGUUAUCCGGAUUUAUUGGGGGGAAAGGGCGUGUAGGCGGGAAUGCAAGUCAGAUGUGAAAACUAUGGGCUCAACCCAGAGCCGGCAGGGGAAACGGGAGGGCGUGAGGGCGGGAGAGGCAAGCGGAAUGCCGUGGGGAGCGGUGAAAGGCGGAGAGAGACGGAGGAACACCAGGGGCGAAGGCGGAUGGCGGGACAGGAACUGACGCGGAGGCGCGAAAGCGGGGGGAGCAAACAGGAGGAGAGACCCGGGUAU